rnacentral:rRNA from 1 species
UACGUAGGUGGCAAGCGUUGUCCGGAUUUACUGGGCGUAAAGGGCGUGCAGGCGGUCUGUUAAGUCUAGGGUGAAAGCUCCCGGCUCAACUGGGAGAGGUCCUUGGAUACUGGCGGACUUGAGGGAGGUAGAGGAGAGUGGAAUUCCCGGUGUAGUGGUGAUAUGCGUAGAUAUCGGGAGGAACACCAGUGGCGAAGGCGGCUCUCUGGGCUUUCCCUGACGCUGAGACGCGAAAGCGUGGGGAGCGAACAGG